GAUGAAGAACGUAGCGAAAUGCGAUACUUGGUGUGAAUUGCAGAAUCCCGUGAACCAUCGAGUCUUUGAACGCAAGUUGCGCCCGAAGCCAUUAGGCCGAGGGCACGCCUGCCUGGGCGUCACACGUCGUUGCCCCCCCAUCUACUCCUUCGGGAUUGCGGGGGGCGGAUGAUGGCCUCCCGUGCGCCUCGUCGCGCGGUUGGCAUAAAUGCCAAGUCCUCGGCGACGCACGCCACGACAAUCGGUGGUUGCGAAACCUCGGUUGCCCGUCGUGUGCGGUCGUCGCGCAUCGAGGGCUCGAAAAAAUUGCCGGGCUCCGGCUCGGCUUUCAACGCGACCCCAGGACAGGCGGGGUUACCCGCUGAAUUUAAGCAUAUCAAUAAGCGGAGGA
rnacentral:misc_RNA from 1 species